rnacentral:rRNA from 1 species
UACGGGGGGGCAAGCGUUGUUCGGAAUUACUGGGCGUAAAGGGCGCGUAGGCGGCCUGCUAAGUCGGACGUGAAAUCCCUCGGCUCAACCGAGGAACUGCGUCCGAUACUGGUGGGCUUGAAUCCGGGAGAGGGAUGUGGAAUUCCAGGUGUAGCGGUGAAAUGCGUAGAUAUCUGGAGGAACACCGGUGGCGAAGGCGGCAUCCUGGACCGGUAUUGACGCUGAGGCGCGAAAGCUAGGGUAGCAAACGGG